CAUCUUUAACCAAAAUGAAAGAAGUUUAUCAAAUAAAACGCAUUGAUUCUAAUUGGGGUCAUUUUUGACCCCACUUAUGGAAGAGUGUAGGUAUUGGUAGGUUAUGCAUCUAAGGGUUAAACACAUGCAUUCUUACUAAAACAUUAUUCUUUUAAACACUUCCACAUAAACAGCCUCAUGCCCCAGAUAAGUAGCGUGCCUGGGCACAUGUGUGAGUUUAAACUCUGCUCACUGAAAUUCACCUGGCAGAGUUCAUACGCGUAUGCUUGCCCAGGUGCAUACUCGCAUGCAGAAGUGUUUUAAACUGUAAAGUUUUAGUGAAAAUGCAAAUGUUGCAAUAUGUCGACUGAAUAAAUAAGACCUGGGUUAAACUGCACUAGUUAUGUGAGUUUGUAAAUGAAGGUUAGAAAUUAUAAUACAGUUUUGCUGUUGCUAAACACAGCCCCUUUUACUUCAAUUCAUCAAGAAUUUUAUCUGUUUUUGGAUUCUUCAUUCAGCAUGGAGGUAUGUGAGAAAAACAACGUUUUCUUCACAAAUAUAAGAUGGGUGAGCAAUUGAUAGACAAGUGGUCAUUUUGUAGGUGGAAUAUUUCAUCCUGAUUGAUGAUAAAAUACGGUAGUGAGUGUGUACUGUAUAUAAAAUAUUUCUCCUGCUGCUAUGCUAGGAUUUCUUACACACAGGCAUUUUACUGUUGUUUGAUACACUGCGUCCUUAUGUCUGUGUUUCUGUCAGAUCCGCCGCGCCCUCCUGCAGCUGCUGUUUCCAGGGAAGUCCUUCCAUUGGCUCCGUCACAUUGCCAUCGCCGUGUGUCUGCUGUUUGUUGUAAACCUGCUGGUCAUCCUUGUUCCGAACAUUCGAGACAUCUUUGGCAUUACAGGGGCAACCACUGCUCCCAGUCUGAUCUUUAUCCUCCCUGGACUGUUCUACAUUCGCAUCAUCCCCACUGACCAGGAGCCCAUAAAGUCCAGACCCAAGAUACAGGCUGCGUGUUUCUCUGCACUUGGUUUUAUAUUCAUGGCCAUGAGCCUGACAUUCAUCGGGCUUGACUGGAUGAGCGGAGAAAAGCGAAAUCUUGGUGGCCAUUAAAGUGUACCCCAAGCCAUACAGCGACAGCAGACAACUGCUGUGCUCCUCCUCCAGUCCUCUGGAUGGUAAGCAAGAUUCAUCCUACUGCUGGAAGGCUCAGGGCUUUGGUGGGACUGGUUUUAUUAAUCUUAAGGACAAUCCAGUCCUCCAUAUUAAUGAGAGGAGCCCAGUUUUGUCCUGUCACCCACCUAGUUUGAUAUAUACAGUACCACCAGGAUCCAUCAAAGUUGGUGCUCCUCUGCUCCACAUGAAGAGCUGACAAACAUGUUGACCAUGGAGGACCCUCAACCAUUAAAAUUUAUUUGCCUUAACACUGACUAAAUGUGGUGCAGAAUGACAGAAAUAUUAAAAGCAGAUUGGGCAAAUAUUUAAAUGCAGCAAAAAAAAAAUAAUCUGUUUAAUUAUCAGUUAGGUUUGGUAGAGAAAAUGUAUUUGGUAUACACUUGAUAAAAAAUGCUAUCAUGGUGUUCAAGAUUGUAGUCCAAUUUUUUCUGCUCGUCUGAGAGUAUGAGGUAACUGAACAAAUUCACUUAAGUAUAAUGUUUUGUGAACUGUGAUUUAUGCAGCGCAGUAUUUGGCAAACUGGAAAAGAUUUUUGGCUUCCAUCAGCUAAAGUCAAGUAUGAAGUUUAUGCAGCUGUGAACCAAUUCAUUUCAUAAUUCAUUUGUAAAUUUAUUCUAGAUAGCAUAUGUGGAUAUUGUGAUAUUGUAAUAAAAAUUUCACAAAAGA